UGGUAGAAACCGUCCAUAGAAUUCUCACAACAAAAAUCUCUCAUCCAUCGAGAGAUUUCUAACAAGCCGGCUGAUUGUUUUUCUUCUAGGGUUUCUCCUCCAUCUCCUUCAAUCAGUGGGCGGGAGUGAUCAGCACAUGAUUCUAAAGUGUUGAGUGAUGCUUUAACAAGGAGAAAUUGACUUAAAGUGCCACAAGGUAAAUAUUUUUUGGGAGACUGUGGAUUUUCAAAUCGAC